rnacentral:rRNA from 1 species
UACGGAGGAUGCAAGCGUUAUCCGGAAUGAUUGGGCGUAAAGCGUCCGCAGGUGGCUGUGUAAGUCUGCUGUUAAAGAGUGAGGCUCAACCUCAUAAAAGCAGUGGAAACUACACAGCUAGAGUGCGUUCGGGGCAGAGGGAAUUCCUGGUGUAGCGGUGAAAUGCGUAGAGAUCAGGAGGAACACCGGUGGCGAAGGCGCUCUGCUAGGCCGCAACUGACACUGAGGGACGAAAGCUAGGGGAGCGAACAGG